rnacentral:antisense_RNA from 1 species
CUUUCGCGUCUGCGGCUCGGAGUGUGGUGCUUCUGCUGGUUGCAGUCAGGCUUCAUACGCUAUUGUCCUGCCCGUAAGUUCCCGUUUUGUGUGUGUUAGAGCAGCCAGCGGGUACAGAAUGGAUUUUGGAAGAGGGAGUCACCACUGGACCUCCAAGGAAGCCACGUGCAGACGUCUACAACCUUCGAUCUCCUGACGAGUUUAUUGUUGGCCAAAACCAGGCUUUGAUUGAACCAGGAUGAAUGCGGGUGUUGGAAGUAGAAUAUAUAUAUACAUAUAAAAUUGAAACUGGCGAUGGAAUAUGAGAGGAGCCCUCUGGAAAGAAAAGGACAGACCCUGUGCUUUCAUGAAAGUGAAGAUCUGGCUGAACCAGUUCCACAAGGUUACUGUAUACAUAGCCUGAGUUUAAAAGGCUGUGCCCACUUCAAGAAUGUCAUUGUUAGACUUUGGUGAAAUUUCUAACUGCCUACCUGGCUAAAGAAAAUAAAAUCUUUUAAAUCAAAA